CCUACGGGUGGCAGCAGUAGGGAAUCUUCCACAAUGGGCGCAAGCCUGAUGGAGCAACACCGCGUGCGUGAAGAAGGGUUUCGGCUCGUACAGCUCUGUUGUUGGAGAAGAACGUGAGUGAGAGUAACUGUUCACGCAGUGACGGUAUCCAACAAGAAAGUCACGGCUCACUACGUGCCAGCAGCCGCGGUAAUACGAAGGUGGCAAGCGUUAUCCGGGUUUAUUGGGCGUAAAGCGAGCGCAGUCAGUUGCUUAGGUCUGAUGUGAAAGCCUUCGGCUUAACCGAAGAAGUACAUCGGAAACCGGGCGACUUGAGUGCAGAAGAGGACAGUGGAACUCCAUGUGUAGCGGUGGAAUGCGUAGAGAUAUGGAAGAACACCAGUGGCGAAGGCGGCUGUCUGGUCUGCAACUGACGCUGAGGCUCGAAAGCAUGGGUAGCGAACAGGAUUAGAUACCCGUGUAGUC
rnacentral:rRNA from 1 species